rnacentral:rRNA from 1 species
AUCCUGGCUUAGGAUGAACGCUAGCUACAGGCUUAACACAUGCAAGUCGAGGGGCAGCAUGGAGUUGCUUGCAAACUCUGAUGGCGACCGGCGAAUGGGUGAGUAACGCGUAUCCAACCUGCCCUGUGCCCGGGAAUAGCCCUUGGAAACGAGGAUUAACGCCCGAUGGCGUGCAUUGACCGCAUGGGAUAUGCACUAAAUGGAAAGGCACGGGAUGGGGAUGCGUUCCAUUAGGUUGUUGGCGGGGUAACGGCCCACCAAGCCCGCGAUGGAUAGGGGUUCUGAGAGGAAGGUCCCCCCACAUUGGAACUGAGACACGGUCCAAACUCCUACGGGAGGCAGCAGUGAGGAAUAUUGGUCAAUGGGCGGAAGCCUGAACCAGCCAAGUAGCGUGAAGGGAUGACGGCCCUACGGGUUGUAAACCUCUUUUAUGCGGGGAUAAAGUGCGCCACGCGUGGCGUUUUGCAGGUACCGCAUGAAUAAGGACCGGCUAAUUCCGUGCCAGCAGCAGC